UAAUACAGAGGUCUCAAGCGUUGUUCGGAAUCACUGGGCGUAAAGGGUGCGUAGGUGGCGUGGUAAGUCAGAUGUGAAAGCCCGGGGCUCAACCUCGGAACUGCAUCCGAUACUACCAUGCUAGAGUACUGAAGAGGUGACUAGAAUUCUAGGUGUAGCAGUGAAAUGCGUAGAUAUCUAGAGGAAUACCAAAGGCGUAGGCAGGUCACUGGGCAGUUACUGACACUGAGGCACGAAGGCCAGGGGAGCAAACGGGAUUAGAUACCCCGGUAGUCCUGGCAGUAAACGGUGCACACUUGGUGUGGGAGGAUUCGACCCCUUCCGUGCCGGAGCUAACGCGUUAAGUGUGCCGCCUGGGAAGUACGGUCGCAAGAUUAAAACUCAAAGAAAUUGACGGGGACCCGCACAAGCGGUGGAGUAUGUGGCUUAAUUCGAUGCAACGCGAAGAACCUUACCUGGUCUCGACAUGCUUUGUGUCUUCUGUGAAAGCAGAAUACGGUAGCAA
rnacentral:rRNA from 1 species